rnacentral:rRNA from 1 species
AUUUUCAACCCUCGACCUCCCUUUGGGGAAGUCGGCGUUGGGGACCGGCAGCACACCGCCGGCCCUGAAAUGGAGUGGCGGCCCGUCCGCGGCGACCUCUGCGUAGUAAACAACUCGCACCGGAACCCCGACGCGGCCACGCCGUAAAACACCCAACUUCUGAACGUUGACCUCGAAUCAGGUAGGACUACCGUGAACUUAA